rnacentral:sRNA from 13 species
UGUGGGUUGGUUUGACACCACCUAUAAAUUGAACCGAAAUAAGUGCAGCCCGAACUACGGACAUGACUCAAUAUGCAGAGGAGCCAUAUGUGCGAUCUGGGAGCCAUAGCACCAACAACUGGCAAGGGAAACGCCCCAAGUCAACAUGUGUCAAUUACCGCUUGACUUUGUUUUGACAGCCAGUGAAAUAGGUUAGUUUCCAGAGUCGAGAAGGAAAGUGCCCGGAAAUAGGAUAUUCUCGUUGCCGGUUCUUGGUUCGAAAUAUCGAUGGCAACAAACUUUAGUGCUGAUUUAUGGUUGCGGUGCGGUUAGAAAAAUAUGCAGGGGAAAAGUUUUCGCCAGACAAAGGGCAUGUGCUGGUGGAAAUCCUUUUGGCAGCCAGCGAAGCGCGAAUUGCGAGUCAGCUUUGCAUAUGCAAAUUAAUUGGUAACCGCAAAAACAUAAUUACCGGCAGAUAUGUAUGUUUUCCAUACCAAUCAAAAGGCUUCAAGAAAUUAAUCAGAACCGUCUGGCAUGUGUUUGCCUGUGAUUCAAAGAAUUCAUCGACAAGGAGACAAUUAAUUACAGCCAUUACAGACAUUAGUUCAGCGAUUGCUCAUCGUCGACUUUAAGGAACAGCGAAAACAGAAAGGCAACUGUGUGAGCAAAGCCAGAGA